GGGAAGACAGCGCGGGAGCUUACACCCAGGGUCGGCACACUACAACCCAAGCGUGUCAAAAAGAAAAUCUCGGGGGCGGAUUCGAGAAUAACUGAUCUUUGGAAGAAGACUACCAAACCAAGAACUUCAGAUCGAACCAAUGAUGAUGUGGAGAAUUUCGACUCCAGACAGUAAA